GGGCCUGAGGAGCAGGGCUUAGCUGCUUGUGAGCAGCGUCCACACCAAGCUGUGCUCACAGUGGCUACGUUCUGUCCUCCAG
rnacentral:pre_miRNA from 12 species